AGGGUUUGAUCAUGGCUCAGGACGAACGCUGGCGGCGUGCUUAACACAUGCAAGUCGAACGGGGAUAAUUAGUGGAAGGUACUUGUACUGAAAGGUAAUUAUUCUAGUGGCGGACGGGUGAGUAACGCGUGAGCGACCUGCCUUCUACAGGGGGAUAACAACGGGAAACCGUUGCUAAUACCGCAUAAGACCACGAAGCUGCAUGGUUUUGAGGUCAAAGGAGCAAUCCGGUAGAAGAGGGGCUCGCGUCCCAUUAGCUAGUUGGUGAGGCAACGGCUCACCAAGGCAACGAUGGGUAGCCGGGCUGAGAGGCUGAACGGCCACACUGGAACUGAGAUACGGUCCAG
rnacentral:rRNA from 1 species